rnacentral:lncRNA from 1 species
GGGCCUCACCCCUGGAGAUUCUGAUUCCGUAGAUUGAGUUUAGGCUCAAUGGCCAAAUUAUUCCCAAGCUGUAUCUCAAUGAUAAGGUAAAUCACCAGAAAGCUACACUUCAGUAGAAUUGCCUUUGCAGAAACCUAUUAUGCACUCUGCUUUCCAAAGGAUAGAUAAUAAAUAGCUGUAUGUGAGCCACCCCGGCACUUUUUGCAUUAGAACUUUUGUCAAGGAUAUCAUGCUCUGUGUCGUUCAGUCCUUCUAAUGUAAAGAUCCUUGUGACUGAUUUCUUUCAGCACUCAAAUCCCGGUAAACACAUUUAAAUUUCAUUCCCUAAAUAUUUAUUCUGCUUUACUAGACAGUGAGACCCACGUUCCCCUGAAUUUUUCUUUUGCCUUAGCUGCAAAAAGACCUUUGUUAUACGUUCACCUGCAGUAGCUUUGCUUAGUAGUUGGGCAAAGACUUUCUUCUGACCUCUAUUUCUCUUAAAUAUACCCAGUAUUAUGGAGUUUGGUCUUUCUUUUUCUGUGCCUAUUUUAGAGGUUUCCUCAAAUUAAAAUUAUAUUUAAAAUAGACAUAGAAAUAAAAAUCUAAAAACUCUACAUUAUAAAUAAUGACAGUGACAUUAAUUUUUUGAGUGUUUACUUUGUGUGAAUCACUGGGCUAAGCAUUUUAUAACAUCAGCCUGUUUAACACCAACUUGUGUAAUCCAAAUAAAUCCUGGGUCCAAAGUGGUUCCGUUUUUUACACAAGGUGAGCUUUCAAAAAGCAUAGUCUAGCCAAUAAAUGUAGUCAAACGCAAGACUGAAGAUUUAUUUAGAUUGCUCAGAAAUGAAUGUUAAUAUACCACCAGUUAAACACAGCAAAAGUUCCUUAAAUUUAACUUUCUCCUCAAAUUUUUGCAUCCUUUGUUGGCCAAGCAAUGACAUUCUAGGAUAGCUGGAGAACCAGGCAACUCUCUGCUCUGGGUUUUCCUCACUUCCCCACAGAGAGAAUUUUUUUCUUAAUCCUCUGAAUGCAUUGAUCUCCUCUCAGUACAUUCUUCCACUCGUUACUCUUGAGCUGGCACCAUUUUUAUGAGAAGACACUGAGGCUUUGUAAAAUUAACCAGGUUUUCCAGACUAAGCCCCCUCACUAAGAUUCAGCAUAUUGAAGUCCAAGGAGUUUAACUUCAAGGUCUAUGUGCUCAGACGCUCUACUCUCUUGUUGCAUUCUGUAUGGCUGGGAUGAUGACAUGGUUAUUCUUUCCAUAGUUUAAAAGCACUUCUAAUUUUAUCUGUUAGAAAUAGUACCAUCUCUAUCAAAUUACAUGUCCACAGUAUCAUCCCUAUCAAGUCACAUUUUAUUUUAAUUGAUUUUUUUUUUGUUCCUAUCUGCCAUUGCACUCAUUGUAAACUCAGGUAAUUUUUGCCUCUUUGCUAAUUAUGAUUUCUUUGUGCAAUAUUUUGGACAUAGUAGGAAAACAGUAAAUACUCAUUAAAUUAAUGACUGGAUGACUGGAUGAAAGGAGUGAGCUGCAUUUCUCUGUGACUGUGGAAUUUUUCUAUCAUCAAUAAUUUACCCAUCUUGGAGUUCCCAUUGUGGCUUAGUGGUAACAAACCCAACGAGUAUCCAUGAGGAUGAAGGUUCAACCUCUGGUCUUGCUUAGUGGCUUAAGUAUCCAGUGUUGCCAUGAAUUGUAGUGUAGGUUACAGACACCGUUCAAGCCUAAGUUGCUGUGGCUGUGGUGUAGGCCAGUAGCUGCAGCUCCAAUUUGACCCCUAGCCUGGGAACUAGGGGCACAUGCACCCCUAAAAAUCAAAAAAAUGAAAGAAGUACUCAUCUCUGUCUCAGAGUUGUUUUGUGUAUUGUAGUGAAUUAGCUUUCUUUCAUAGCUCACAAAUUGAUUCUGAAUGAAAUUUCAAAAAGAGUUCAAAAAAAGUGUUUUUAGCAGUGGUAAGAUAUUAUAUGUUUUAUUCUGACAUUACGGGGAAAAAAAUAAUUUUGAAUUACAAAACUAAAGUAUGAAUCCCAGCUGUGAACAGUCUUGGGUAAAAACAUUAAGCAUUUUAAAACUUCAAAUUUCUCAUUCUAAAUUGGGACUACUACUUGCUAUAAUUCAUGGUUUAUUUGUAAUUAUCAAAUGUAAGAUGAUACCUGAGAAACUCCUUUGAAAAAUCUCAGUAUGUUGUUAUUUUAUAAACUAUUUAAAUUUCUGCCUUGUUUAUUAAAAUAUCGUGAAUAAUAGCCAUAUUAUCUUUGGGUAUAAACGUGCACAUUAGUGACCCAUCUGUGUUUCACUUUUUUCACAUUAAAAUCUUGGAAGAUAGAAGUAGAUGGGGCUUUCUUUUUAACUUUUUCCAUUUAUCUUUUUUUUUAAUCUUUGAAUAAUAGCUGUGCCUAUUAUCAAAUGCAUUUCCACUGAUGAGUUCAAAAACUAAUAUGUCCUAUGCUUUACAUGGUAUUAUACCAUCUAGACUUCCAGAAAUGUAGUUUUGUUGUUCUAUCGUAUUACAUAGGGUAUUUUAAAUAAAAUAUUAUUAAUUUCACUAAACAUUUAGCAAAGGAAAAAUCAUUUUCUGAUUGCCUCAUUUUUUCCAAAGUAAAAUGUGAGCAGUAAACAAAAUGGAGUAUCUCCAUUUUAGUAGGUUUAAAGUUACAGAGGUUUUAUAUUCCUUUCUUGUCUUAUCAAAGAUAUUAAAAGCCAUUUUGUAUUAAAUCUUUAUCAUAACACAUAAUUAAGUUCCACCAAAUGAACAAUAAGUGUACAUCAGCAAUGUCAGUAAGGAAAGUUGUUCAGUGAAAUUAGGACUCAAGACAAUUGCUUUUAAUUAGGUUACAGAAUAUAAACCAUACAGAGGUGCACAGGCCUCUUAUAUUUUACCAGCAAUUAUAUUGAAAAGGUCACUUGAAAACAAGUACAAGAAGGAUCUAGUAAAAGAGUAAACCCAGAAGCUUCUUAAAUAUGGCUUCCAUUGAGUUCCAGUUUCACAGUAUCAACACUAUUCUUUCAAUGAAUUCCAAGAAUGAUUACACCUUUAUCCUGUGCAGUGCAAUGAAACAGUCAGCUUUCCCAUAAAACCUGUGGGAAAGCACAAUUGCACCAGAUGGUUGAUAUCCUGUAACUACUUUUGAAACUUAGACAUCCUAUAAAAUGUAUUUUGCUAGCAUAAUGUACACUGAAGUGGUGCACAUGUCCAAGAGAACUACCUUGCAAAUACAUAGCAACUAAAUCGCUGACAUAUUGGCUUCUCCAUAUCACUUUCCUGAAAAUAAGCAUUAUUUGUCCAGAUUGCUUCAAAAUAAAAGCUCAUCUCAUUUUAUUGUGUUUUCCCCCACCCAAACCAUGAUCUUUAUUGUUAAAGCUUACUGAUUUACUAUACUUAUCUAUUAUCUGCAUAACUGUAGAAAUGACACGUAGCAAUGAGUCUUGUAUAGGCAUCAUUUUGUAAGGUCUAGGGUCUCCAAGCAUUGAAGGAUUAAUUUGGUUAACCCUUUAAGGAGAACUGGACCCACCCUAUGGAUUAAUAUGCAUGAAGUAUGUAAGCUGUUAAGUGCACAUACAAAAAGCCCAUAAAUUGUUGUAACUUCUUCAUUUCUGUUGCUCCAUUAAAACUUUCUCCUAAUCAGGAGUAGAGAAGACUAAUGUCUAUUUUCUGGUUAUGUUAUUGGAUGGGAAGCAUUUUGUUUAGCAUCGUCUGUUCAUUCCUUUUAUGUAGCUCAUACUCAUUCAUAUCUCAUCAUUCUGUGACAUUUUACACUGGCCAGAUAUAUUGGGCAGAGUUUAUUUUAUUGCAACCAACAGAGAGAAAAUGACUCUGGGUGACUCAAGCAGAAAAUGGAGUUUUGGAGGGAGCUACACAUAAUCCAAAAAGCUAAGCAAUCAUGCUUCUGGAAGGCAGGAAUGAGAGGUGGGUCUGGGACCUCAGUAACUGGCAUUAGUGGAGCUUCAUUUAGAGUCCCACCCUUGUCUUGACUCAGCACAUGUCCCCAUGAAGCACUGUGUCUUUCUGUUACAACUCCAGAUUCUCAGGAAAAAGGCACUAGCUCAUCUCAUUUCAUUUUCUAGUGUCUCUCUCUACCUCUCUGUCCAUCAGAUAUAGCCAGAAGGGUAGUAGAAUUGCACAAAUAUGGUAGUGCUGGCACUGCUAUGAGCUGAGAUGCACCCUCAUUUCGUGUGUGUCACAGUUGGUCACUCUAAUCAGGGCUUGUAUGAUUUUUGGAAGAAUUUCUCUCCCUCAUACCAGUAAUUUUUCAGAGUUUGGUGUUGAAGCACAGAAUCUUAUCAAGUUUAUGUCCACACCUCAACUUAUUUCUAUUUCAAUCUGUUUUUGCUCAAAUUGUGCAGUGCUACAUGUAUGACUGCUGCUGCAUCUAGGAUAAAAUGUUUGCUCCCAUCUGUGCUUCUGGGGCUGGAUGGCCUCACCUGGCUAUCUGGAUGAUGUUCUCCUAGUAGUCAGAAAACACUUACCCUGUGGUUAAUUUCUGUCUCCACUAUCAAAUAUUUUCCCCUCAACUUUUAAAGAUCUGUUCACAAUGGCCCAUUGCUACUUAAUUAUUUUAUAUUGGUUAAUGCAUGAAGUUAAUCUGGAUAGUGCUUAAUUUCAAUCCAUCUGUAAGACUUUGCAGAGGUUGGCUGAAUAUGACAAACUCUGUUUUAUUGUUCAUUCAGUUCUUUCAUGUCCAUUUUAUUGCAGAAAAUAAUGACUGAGAUGAAUGGUGGCUCCCUGGCAUGUUUACAUACCCAGGUGGAAAAUUGUUCCUGCUGUUUUCAGAACAACUUUCAAACCUAAAUUAAGGUCAUAUCCAUAUAAGUUAAAAUGCCAAAAAAAUAAAUCCACAUAUACUCUAAAAUGAGUUUUCCUUUUCAAAAUCAUGCUCCUUGAUCAUCCCUUUCAUUUUUGUAGUUUUCCAAUUUUAAUUGACUCAAGAUGGCAUUUUUUUUUUCACUUAAGGCAUAGUGCUGAGAAGACAGUAUCUAUUUCUAUUUCUGACACACUGCCUAAUUCCAAGUCAGUUGUUUGGGCUUUUGAGCAUUCUCUCAGUAAAAUGGAAGUAUUAGUACUUAUCUUUUCAUGAAAACCAACAGAAUUUUUAUAUGAAGCAUCCCUGGCAUGGUUGAGAAGGUGUCGGUUGCUUCCACAACCCACAAUGUUCUAAUAUCUUCAUGUUUUCAAAUCAUUUGACAUCAUUGCCUAUUUUUAAAUUUUUCUCUUGUAUUAAUGAGACAGUUAUGAUGGUUCUUCAUGUUCAUUUCACUUAAGUUCUCAAGAAUUGUACAGAAAGCCAUCAGCCAUCCGAUCCCUCAGACUCCUCCCUUACAGAGUCACCAUUGCCUGCCCAGGACAGAAAUUUGAUGCUAAUUUGGAUUUAUGCAACUCUAGGAAUGUAUUUGAGAUAUUAACAUGGUUUCUUAAUAUUAUAAAAAUCCUUUACUUUUUCCAGAGCCAAGUUGGACCUGCUUAUAUUAAUUAUAUUUUAAAUGUUUCCGUAAUUCUCUUUAUAACAAAAGGGUGAAAAACAAAGAGCACACCAAUAUAAUACCAAAACUGUAUUUCCUUUGGAUUUGCUGCAGCUGUGUUCUUUUGUCCUUUAAGAGUCUACAGUUGAAUGAGAUUCAUAUCUUUUUUACCACCAGAUCACACAGAAUUUCAUUGUAUAUGCUAUUGCUGUGCUUCUUCAUUGCUAUAGUAGUUCUAGAAUCUUGAGAACAUUUCAAUGCUAAAAGUGAUUUAAGAAAAAAACCUACAUAUAUAUAGUCAAUUAAUUUAUAAAAAAAAGGAAGCAAGACUAUAUGAUGACAAAAGCACAGCCUCUUCAGUAAGUGAUGUUUAGGAAAUUGUAUAGUCACAAGCAAAAGAAAUGACCAUUUUCUUAUACCAUACACAAAAAUCAACUCAAAAUUAAUUAAAUUCUUGAAUGUAAGACCUGAAACCAUAAAACUCCUAGAAAAAACACAGACCGUAAGCUUCCUGACAUUGGUCUUGGCAGCGAUUUUUUGGAAUUGAUACCAAAAUCACAGGCAACAAAAGUGAAACUAAAUAAGUGAAACUACAUUCAAAUUUAAAAGCUUCUGCACAGCAAAGAAAACCAUCAACAAAAUGAAAAGUCAACUUGCUGAUUGAGAAAAAAGUUUACAAAUUAUGUAUCUG